AUGAAUCUGCUGGCCUGGAACUGUCGAGGCUUGGGGUUGGACUUGACAGUCGGGGAAUUAUGAGACCUGGUACGGUCCUACAACCCAGUGGUGGUGUUUCUUAGUGAGACAAAAAAGAAGGCUAGUGCUAUGGAGAGGUUGAGAUGGAGUUUGGGUUUUCAGAGUGGUGUAGCAGUGGAUUGCAAGGGGAGGAGUGGAGGGCUAGCUCUAUGGUGGAGAGAGCACAUCCAGGUUACCGUUCGACCGUGGUGCCAAUAUUUUCUGGAUGCGGAGGUUGUUUGCGAGGGGGAAACCUGUAGGGUCACUGGAUUCUAUGGGGAACCCCGAAAGGAGCUUCGUUAA
rnacentral:rRNA from 1 species